CUUUCCAACACCCCUCACAUGUCUCUUUUCCCCAAACCAGUAGUGUUCUAUCUCCAUCACUAAUUUCUCAAAACAACAAUAAAACCAAACGCGCUUUCCCCUUUCUCUUCUUCCUUCUUUCUUAUCUCCUUCAAUUGUGAAACUCUAAGACCCUAGUUGCAUCACCAUAGCUAUCUGUGCCUGCCAAGAUUCUCCCUAUUUUCAGUCGUUCAACUCGUCACUUCGAGAUAUCAGCAAAAACAGACCCAAAUUGAUACAAGAGUUAAAUUUUAUUUCGAAUUCAUGAUUAAUGCUCGAGAACCGUCCAAAUCUGAGGGGGUAUUAGUCCGUUUCAGCCUUUGAUUUUCAAAUUUUGAAUUUGCCCGUUGACUUUCUCGAAUUUUUGGUUCAAAUUCGGAAUUUGAAGAUAAAUACUCAUGAUUUUAGCACUCAAAGAGAAAGGAGGGUUAGAAAAAAAAUGAGUUAGGACACUCGAAAAUUGGGGAAUAUUUACAAAUUCACAAACAAAGUCAAAAAUCGAAAGUUUCUUUUCUUGUUUUCGGUAUAGGAUUUAGAUUCCGGAGUUCGAGCUAGAUAUUCAAAAAAAUUCUUGACGUAGAGCCCCAGAUUUACUGCUCAACAAAAGGUCACCUUUCAUUAUGUUGUCGCAAUUCGACAUGUGCCAUCUAAGAAGACAGGGAAUGGACAGAGGAGAAUCCAUUGACUUGCCAACGUACCUUUUCAGAUGAGGAAAGGCCUCAUAUAUCCAAACCUACAAUCAAUAAAAGCAUAAGCAAAUCUACACUGUCUAUGUAUUAUUGCAUAAAUAUGUAGGAUUCUAUAAUAGAACAACAAGAUGGUAGAUUAUAAGUACCAGAAACGCCCAGGAAAAGUCAAAUAACGCGUA